rnacentral:misc_RNA from 1 species
AAGUCGUAACAAGGUUUCCGUAGGUGAACCUGCGGAAGGAUCAUUAGUGAAGAUUGAGCGCUCGUAAGAGGCUCGCUACACUUAUUCACACACUGUGCACUUGGAGAACACUUGUCCUUAGACAUUUAUUUGUCUUUCGACACUUUAAUACACUUGUAAUUUAAAAGUUGAUGAUGUACAAAUAUUUAUAAAGUUUAAAUAA